ACAGCGCGUGUGCGGGGUCCCCAGCGCCCCCUGCUUCUUCCUCGCCAGGCACUAAUGGCUGCAGAGAGGGGAGCUGGAAGGAUGAGGAGGAUGGACCUCUGGACGUGGACAGGCUGUGUGACUGCAACAUCAGAUCCCGGACUGCUUACUACCUAGAUAAAAGUCGGCAAGAGGAAUAUGGAAUCUGGAUGAACCACAGCUAUGGAGCACCUUGGAUGGAGAUCAAAUAAGCUCUCUUGAUGAUGGAAUGCCAGGUACAGACCGACUGCAACAUCAGAUCCUGGACUGACUACUACCUAGAUAACGGUCGGCAAGAGGAAUACGGAAUCUGGAUGAACCAUGGCCCACCCUCACAGACACACUGUCACAAGCUAAGGAUUUCUAGAGAACAUUCUGAAUCUAUUCCUACCCCUUUAUCUUCCUUACGUUGUAAAUUCUUUUCCUUGUUCCAUGCACUUUUCUCAUUGUGUUUAUUAUGGUAUGUUUUUCCUAACCCAAAAGGUGUUUUUAUUCAGCAUCUGUAAUAUUUCUGUAUAUGCUGAAGUGUAAUAUGUUUGAAAUUUUCCAUGAAAAAUAUAAACAAGGUAAGGUGAGGGUUCUGUUAUCAGGCUUCAGGGCACCAAGUGAGUACCUCCUGGAGAUCAGGAAGGAAUUCUUUCUGCAUGUAAAGAAGUAGAUGGAUGCACUGAGGUUUUUGGGUCCGAUUGGGCCUUCUUCUGAAGAAACAGCUACUAUCCAUUAUUGAAGGUAUGAUAACAGACUAAUGAACAUAGUCUGAGCUGGUUUGAAAACCCCAUGUUCUUUUAACGAUAGAAGGAUUUCUCCACACACCCCUCCCCCCCAGGUGUUCUCUCCCUUCUCUACAGGAUUCUAUGCUUGAGCUCUUUGCCCUAUAAGGAGAGGGAGAUGCCUUCAUUGCUACUUACCUUCUGCACACAGAUAAAAAUCAAUGAUUAACCCCAUCUACCAAAAGCCCAUUGAUUCUUCCACAAAGAUUCUGCCUAAAACAAUAGGGUUAAUCACCUCCCUCAUUUAAUUUAUCCUUUUGUCCUUUCAUCUCCUCCUCACUCAAUUUUCUUUGCUAGUCCCAAGCUUUCAAUAGCCAUGAAUUUGCCCCUUCUCUCCUUCCCCCUCUCCCCCCAGUGCCAGCUAUAGGCCCUUGUAUUUCAAGUAGUUCUGAGACACCUUGUAGGCUGCAUCCAUUACUAGAGUUCUGACAACCACUAAAAGCUCUAUUGGGUCCCAGAGGGAAGGAAGUAGGCUCUUGGAAAGGGAAUGAAAACUAGAUAUUGUUAUACUGUUUAAAAGUCACCAAUCCAGCAACAAAAAGACACAAGUUCUACUGGCUACCUGCCACUUACUUUCCCCCCCACAGAAUUCUCUUCCAUUGACUGACUGAAAUCAGCAAAAUGAUAAUGCAUGGGAGCAAUAUCAGUGAACCUUGACCUAGUGUCUCAGCUGCCUUGCAAUGUUUAUUCAAACCUCAUUUAGAAACUCACCUACUUUCCCUUUUGUCUGAGACCUAGCAAUGUAGAGGGAUCCUACAGUGGGGUGGAGAAGGGCAGAUGGAUGUGGAUGGACAGGAACAGCACUGAAGAGACUGCUGCCAGGUACUGGGGCUGAGAUGGUUGGAUCAUCACAGGCUGGAGCAACAAUGAAGAGGCAGCCACUCAGAAGUGAAGCUGAGAGGAUGGGAUCAGCAGUGACAAAGCUUUUACCCAGUAGUGCGACUGAUGGCAGAGGAAAGGGAUGAUAGGCAAGAGAAGCACCAAAGAGGCCACACAAGGGAGUUGAGAAUAUUGACAUGAUAUACCAGACCUUUGUCCUUCAGUAUGGCUGCUAGAAAUAGAUGGACAGAACAUACUGAAGAAGCCUUCAGUAGGCUCUAGGCCUAAGAAAGGUGGAUAGAGCUGGAUUGAAAGAAGGGACCCACACAGCACUAUAAUAUAUUAUAAUCCUUGCAUAUUCUGAUAGGCCUUGGAGCCUAACUCAAAGCAGCCUCUCUGUGUCCCGGUGGGUCCAGUCUGGGAAAAAGGGGGAAAUGGGAAACAAGGAGCCACGGGGAAGUGCUGGGAGGUGUGGGCUUUGCUGCAGAAUAUCUAGCCUGUGUAAACAUGUGGCAGGCAGUGGAGUGGGGAGGUGCUUGGGUUCUGGGGAGCAGAAAAGUAGGAGUUAUCUAUGUAGGGAGAGGAUCAAGGUCUAAACCCUGCAUAGCCUAAUGCUGGCAUUAUCAAAGUCAUAUGGACUCCUGUCACACAGCAAUUCUUAGCAACCUUUUUUUUUUUUUUUUUUUUAAAGCUACGAACAUAAUGCUUUGUAAGUAUUAUAGAUUAAAACAACAACUGUUAGUAAAGCAAGCAAUUAAAAGUUAAGGGUAUUUGCUUA